AAAAGACGCCUGAUAAUAUCAUCGAGAACCGCUUGGUCCAUUAUCUGAUACUAUUUUGCACCGCUUAAAAAAUAAAAUAAAAAAAAUCUUUUUUAGAGUCUCUAAAAAUCAAAGGAGGAAGGAAAAAAAGUCAACGGGUUUAUCUAAUGGAUGUGAUAGAGAGAUGGAAAAGCUGAGCGAGGAGACUGAAAAAGAGAGAGAGUAGCAUGCCUUAGAGGGGAUAGAGAAAAUGGGGGUGGGGCUGUCGUUUUGUUAGGGGAGAAAUGCCGUUUUACGAGGGUGAGAAGAAGCCUGAGACACGAGCUGUUUCUCGCGGUGAGAGUGAAGAGAAAAUGGCAAGGGUUUUGCUUGGAAGUGGGCUGACUUGGACUUACGCAGAAAUAAACACAGCCAACAGAGGAUGGUGAUUUACUG
rnacentral:misc_RNA from 1 species